rnacentral:snRNA from 1 species
AUACUUACCUGGCGCGGGGGAUACCGUGAUCAAGAAGGCGGUGUGCCUCCAGGACGAGGCCUGUACAUUGCACUCCGUAUGGGCUGACUCCUGCGACUACCCCAAAUCGGGGUGGCUCGGAGCGCAUAAUUUUUGGUAGUGGGGACAAGCGUUUCGCGCUGUCCCUU